UACAGAGGGGGGCAAGCGUUAUUCGGAAUUAUUGGGCGUAAAGGGCGCGUAGGCGGCUUUUCAAGUGACGGGUGAAAUCCCUCGGCUUAACCGAGGAACUGCCUGUCAGACUGUAAGGCUUGAGACCGGGAGAGGUGAGUGGAAUUCCCAGUGUAGCGGUGAAAUGCGUAGAUAUUGGGAGGAACACCAGUGGCGAAGGCGGCUCACUGGACCGGUACUGACGCUGAGGCGCGAAAGCGUGGGGAGCAACAGGG
rnacentral:rRNA from 1 species